GACGAACGCUGGCGGCGUGCCUAGUACAUGCAAGUUGAGCGCUGAAGGUUGGUACUUGUACCAACUGGAUGAGCAGCGAACGGGUGAGUAACGCGUGGGGAAUCUGCCUUUGAGCGGGGGACAACAUUUGGAAACGAAUGCUAAUACCGCAUAAAAACUUUAAACACAAGUUUUAGUUUGAAAGAUGCAAUUGCAUCACUCAAAGAUGAUCCCGCGUUGUAUUAGCUAGUUGGUGAGGUAAAGGCUCACCAAGGCGAUGAUACAUAGCCGACCUGAGAGGGUGAUCGGCCACAUUGGGACUGAGACACGGCCCAAACUCCUACGGGAGGCAGCAGUAGGGAAUCUUCGGCAAUGGACGAAAGUCUGACCGAGCAACGCCGCGUGAGUGAAGAAGGUUUUCGGAUCGUAAAACUCUGUUGGUAGAGAAGAACGUUGGUGAGAGUGGAAAGCUCAUCAAGUGACGGUAACUACCCAGAAAGGGACGGCUAACUACGUG
rnacentral:rRNA from 1 species